GACGAACGCUGGCGGCGUGCCUAACACAUGCAAGUCGAGCGGAGAUGAUGUGAGGAAGUUUUCGGAUGGAAUCACAUUAUUUUAGCGGCGGACGGGUGAGUAACGCGUGAGCGACCAACCUUGCACAGGGGGAUAACGGACCGAAAGGUUCACUAAUACCGCAUGAGACCACGGUGUUGCAUGACACAGAGGUCAAAGGAGCAAUCCGGUGCAAGACGGGCUCGCGUCCGAUUAGGUAGUUGGUGGGGUAACGGCCUACCAAGCCUAUGAUCGGUAGCCGACCUGAGAGGGUGAUCGGCCACAUUGGAACUGAGAUACGGUCCAAACUCCUACGGGAGGCAGCAGUGGGGAAUAUUGGGCAAUGGGGGAAACCCUGACCCAGCAACGCCGCGUGAAGGAAGAAGGUUUUCGGAUUGUAAACUUCUGUCCUUGGUGAAGAGAAGAAGACGGUAGCCAAGGAGGAAGCCCCGGCUAACUACGUGCCAGCCGCCGCGGUAAAAC
rnacentral:rRNA from 1 species